rnacentral:rRNA from 1 species
UACGUAGGGGGCGAGCGUUGUCCGGAAUCAUUGGGCGUAAAGAGCGUGUAGGCGGCUUGGCAAGUCUGACGUGAAAGCCCGCGGCUCAACCGCGGAUUGUCGUUGGAAACUGCCUCGCUAGAGUCCGGAAGAGGAGAGCGGAAUUCCUGGUGUAGCGGUGGAAUGCGCAGAUAUCAGGAGGAACACCGGUGGCGAAGGCGGGUCUCUGGGCAGUAACUGACGCUGAGGAGCGAAAAGCGUGGGGGAGCGAACAGG